rnacentral:lncRNA from 1 species
GACAAAUGCAAAGAUCCUAAUGUCAGCUGGAGAAGAGCUUCCUAGUUCAGAGGUAAUGCUGAGCUCAAGGCUAUGGAUGAGCUAUCAAGAAAGAGGGAAGGUUGGAGAGUGAGAGAAUUUUGGAGGAAAGAUAACAAACUUUGCUAAGUUGUUUGGCUACAUACUGCCUUACAGUCAUUAUUUUUGGUGUUUAGAAAAAAAUAGAAACAGGG